AUUGAACGCUGGCGGCAUGCUUUACACAUGCAAGUCGGACGAGUUGCGGACGGGUGAGUAAUAUAUCGUAACGUCCCUCAUACUUGGGGAUAACUCAUCGCAACAUUAGCUAAUACCGCAUAUUAUUCGAUCGUCCCAUAUCUGAUUAGCUAGUUGGUGGGGUAAAGGCUAACAAAGGAGACGAUCAGUAGCGGGUCUCAGAGGAUUAUACGCAAAACUGGAACUGAGACACGGACCAGACUCCUACGUGAGGCAGCAGUGGGGAAUUUUGGACAAUGGGCGCAAGCCUGAUCAAGCCACGCCGCGUGUAUGAAGAAGGCCUUCGGUGUGUAAAGGACUGUUGUCAGGGAAGCGGUACCUGAAGAAUAAGCACCGGCUAACUACGUGCCAGCAGCCGCGGUAAUAC
rnacentral:rRNA from 1 species